rnacentral:rRNA from 1 species
UACGAAGGGGGCUAGCGUUGCUCGGAAUCACUGGGCGUAAAGGGUGCGUAGGCGGGUCUUUAAGUCAGGGGUGAAAUCCUGGAGCUCAACUCCAGAACUGCCUUUGAUACUGAAGAUCUUGAGUUCGGGAGAGGUGAGUGGAACUGCGAGUGUAGAGGUGAAAUUCGUAGAUAUUCGCAAGAACACCAGUGGCGAAGGCGGCUCACUGGCCCGAUACUGACGCUGAGGCACGAAAGCGUGGGGAGGCAAACAGGG